rnacentral:rRNA from 1 species
UACGGAGGGUGCAAGCGUUAUCCGGAUUCACUGGGUUUAAAGGGUGUGUAGGCGGGCAUUUAAGUCAGUGGUGAAAUCUCCGAGCUCAGCUCGGAAACUGCCAUUGAUACUAUUUGUCUUGAAUAUCGUUGAGGUUGGCGGAAUAUAUCAUGUAGCGGUGAAAUGCUUAGAUAUGAUAUAGAACACCGAUUGCGAAGGCAGCUAACUAAGCGAUGAUUGACGCUGAGGCACGAAAGCGUAGGGAUCAAACAGG